rnacentral:rRNA from 1 species
AUUGAACGCUGGCGGCAGGCCUAACACAUGCAAGUCGAACGAGUGGCGGACGGGUGAGUAAUGUCUGGGAAACUGCCUGAUGGCGGGGGAUAACUACUGGAAACGGUAGCUAAUACCGCAUACCAUCAGAUGUGCCCAUAUGGGAUUAGCUUGUUGGUGGGGUAACGGCUCACCAAGGCAACGAUCCCUAGCUGGUCUGAGAGGAUGACCAGCCAAACUGGAACUGAGACACGGCCCAGACUCCUACGUGAGGCAGCAGUGGGGAAUAUUGGACAAUGGGCGAAACCCUGAUGCAGCCAUGCCGCGUGUAUGACGAAGGCCUUCGGGUUGUAAAGUACUUUCGGCAGGGAGGCGUUACCCGCAGAAUAAGCACCGGCUAACUCCGUGCCAGCAGCCGCGGUAAUAC